UCAACAUUUCGACUGGUGAAGGCGCAAAAUUUCAAGCUCCAAUAAAAAUCAAAAAUCCUUCGGGAGGUAGCUGAGAGAAACAUCAAAACUAGAAUUUCCGGAACUCCGAAGCUAAGCCAAGUUAAUCAAAAACCCUCAAAAUGUGUGAUCCGUGCAACGUUCCCUGUGACUUCAUCUGCUGCCCAGCUAUCUGCCCGCCGUGUGGCCCGUGUGGACCCUGUGGCCCCUGCGGUCCUUGUGGUCCUUGCGGUCCUUGUGGCCCGUGUGGACCUUCCUGCGGCCCUUGCGGACCUUGUGGUCCUUGCGGUCCCUGUGGGCCAUGUGGUCCCUGCGGUCCCUGUGGUCCCUGUGGUCCCUGUGGCCCUUGUGGACCUUGUGGGCCUUGCUGUGGUCCUUGCGGUCCAUGUGGUCCCUGUGGACCUUGCUGAUGCUCCGACCUCCGGUCGUACAUGUCCUCGCUAAGGUCCUGCCAGCAAACGGAGCAACAACACAUCAUUCAAACUUCAAACUUGGCUGGAAGCGGAAGCAAAAUUUAGGGUCCCCAAAAGCUCCUUGAAUCUUAAAAAAAAACUUUAAAAGCAAUAGCAAACCAGAUACGAAAUGCCCUGCGGACCGUGUGCCCCCUGCAGACCUUGUGGUCCGUGUGCCCCUUGUGGACCUUGCGGUCCAUGUGGGCCUUGUGGACCCUGUGGACCCUUUGGACCCUGUGGACCCUGUGGACCCUGUGGACCUUGCAGUCCCUGCGGUCCUUGCGGCCCUUGUGGUUCCUGUCCCCGGCCUCCGGUCAGCUUGUGUGAGUGUAUGGCCCGGCAGUACAGCCCUUACGGAUCUUUCUAGAGAGCCCCGAACGGAUUGAAUCGUGUUUCGUCUUAAUGUGAAGUGAUCUAAAAAAAAUAUCAGCUUUUCCAAAAAGUAAUGAAUAAAUGUUGGGAGCCUUAGUGAAUUAA